UACGGGGGGGGCAAGCGUUGUUCGGAAUUACUGGGCGUAAAGGGCUCGUAGGUGGCCAACUAAGUCAGACGUGAAAUCCCUCGGCUUAACCGGGGAACUGCGUCUGAUACUGGAUGGCUUGAGUGUGGGAGAGGGAUGCGGAAUUCCAGGUGUAGCGGUGAAAUGCGUAGAUAUCAGGAGGAACACCGGUGGCGAAGGCGCUCAUCUGGCCCGAUACUGACGCUGAGGCGCGAAAGCUAGGGGAGCAAACGGG
rnacentral:rRNA from 1 species